UCCGAGUUAACCCCGGCAGUCUCCCGUGAGUCCCCAACUGAAUGCUGGCAACUAAGAGCAGGGGUUGCGCUCGUUGCGGCACUUAACCCAACAUCUCACGACACGAGCUGACGACAGCCAUGCAGCACCUGUGUAGGCUGGUAUUGCUACCUCGUUGCCCUUUCAGGCUCCUACUACCUACAUGUCAAGGCCAGGUAAGGUUCUUCGCGUUGCAUCGAAUUAAGCCACAUACUCCACCGCUUGUGCAGGCCCCCGUCAAUUUCUUUGAGUUUUAAUCUUGCGACCGUACUUCCCAGGCGGCACGUUUAACGCGUUAGCUUCGCCACGAAAGGAUUCGACACCUCUCACAGCAAACGUGCACCGUUUACAGCUAGGACUAC
rnacentral:misc_RNA from 1 species